rnacentral:tRNA from 1 species
GCCCGAAUGGCGGAAUUGGUAGACGCGCUAGUUUCAGGGACUAGUGAACGUUUUGUUUGUGCAGGUUCGAGUCCUGUUUCGGGCA